AUGGAAACAAACCUUUUAAAUACUGAUGUAGCUUCCAGGAGUGCUGCCUGGGUAACUGUCAUGAGUCUUGUCAUAGGCACAGAGGGACAAAGCGUUCAGCAGCCCCCUGAGGUGACAGCAAUGGAAGGAGCCUCUGUCCAGGUCAACUGCAGCUACCAGACGACUGCGUUCAAAGGGCUGUUCUGGUACCAACAACGUGACGGCGGAACACCCACAUUUCUCUGUUACCAUGUUCUGGAUGGUUUGGCAAGAAGAGGUCAUUUUUCCUCGUUCCUUAGUCGCUCUGAUACAUACAGUUACCUUCUUCUGAAGGAGCUGCAGGUGAAAGACUCUGCCUCUUACCUCUGUGCUGUGAGUGACACAGUGAGUGUGAGGCCCCUUCAGCUGCACCAAAAUUCAAAGGCAGCCAGGCAGUGA